rnacentral:rRNA from 1 species
UGGGGAAUAUUGCGCAAUGGGGGAAACCCUGACGCAGCGACGCCGCGUGGAGGAAGAAGGUUUUCGAAUUGUAAACUCCUGUUAAGCGGGAAGAAAGAACCGAUAGUAAUAUGAUCGGGAGAUGACGGUACCGCUAGAGAAAGCACCGGCUAACUUCGUGCCAGCAGCCGCGGUAAUACGAAGGGUGCAAGCGUUAUUCGGAGUUACUGGGCGUAAAGAGCGUGUAGGCGGUUUGUUAAGUUAAUUGUUAAAGCCCCUGGCUUAACUAGGGAUCGGCAAUUAAUACUGGCAGACUAGAGCGCAAGAGAGAGAAGCAGAAUUCUCGGAGUAGCGGUAAAAUGCGUAGAUCUCGAGAGGAAUACCGAUUGCGAAGGCAGCUUCUUGGUUUGUGUCUGACGCU